rnacentral:rRNA from 1 species
GGUAAGUCGGUCCAGGCGGCGUCGGUAUAACGGGUGAGGGAGGCAUUGACCGGAAUGAUGGGGAGUAAGACGGCCGUGGGUGGCAAGGUAAGGCGUCGGUCAAAGGCUGGGGCUUAACCCUGGAAAGGCCGUGGAAACUGACUAGCUAGAGGGCAGUAGGGGUAGAGGGAAUUCCCGGUGUAGCGGUGAAAUGCGUAGAGCUCGGGAAGAACAUCGGUGGCGAAAGCGCUCUACUGGACUGCAACUGACACUCAGGGACGAAAGCUAGGGGAGCGAAUGGGAUUAGAUACCCUGGUAGUC